UGGCCACCAGAGAGCCGGACAGCUUGAUGGUGGCAACCCAGGGUGGCUCGCCCAGGUGGUUGGUGGAUGUGCUCAGCCUAGUGGGGGAGGGUAGAGUCAGCAAAGCCCAGCAAUGGGACCAGGCCUCUAGCCCUUCUAGGGCCUCCCUGUCCCCAUAUGAAUAGGGAAGCUUCUGAAGGCUAUAUUGGAAUAUCCCAAAGGCAGUUUAGGGCAGGGCUGUGGCCACUUAAUAGGAAAGGGAGCUGAGGGCUGGCGAGUGUCCCAGCUAAGCUUCAAGAGGUCCAGGGCAGUCUCCCAGUGGUUCAGCACUCCCAGGAGUCAGUAUCAGACCCCAGUGGCCAGAUCUGGUGAUUCAGUGUGGGUAGGGGGUGGCUGGAGGAUGCAUUGUCCCCCUGGAUGUGGGACUCAGGAGGAGCCUCCCCAGCACAAGGGCUGGGACAUCAGUGCCCUCUGGCGGCUGAAGCCUUGAGUCCCAGAGUCAGGAGAAGUCCUCAGAGGCUAGAGGGGUCAGGAGUCCAGGGCUGCCCCUGUGCCCAGUAAAGUUGGAGGCGUGCAUCUACCCCCAUUUAGUUCCAGGAAGACAGUCAUCCCCUCACCCCCAUCCCUGAGUGGCCUCGGACGUGGUCCUCCUUGAUACCCUCAGGGACAGGGUCAAGGCAGUGUAUAGGGUCAGGCCAGCUGGGACCAGCCUCCCUCUCUAAUGGCUCCAAGAGAGGUACAGGAGGGCCAAGAGUCCACUUAGGGAUUGGAUGCCAUAGGGCUGGGCCAGGGUGUCCCCCUUUCCCCGUCAAAGGUCAGCAUGGGAUCAUGGGUCCUCUUGGUCCUGAAGGGUGGGAGCUCAGCUAGGUUUGAGAUGUGGCAGAGAUGAAGGCCACGGGUCAUUCUAGGGUCAGGAAGCCAAAGGGCUGAGUAGGACUCUAUCCAGCAGUCUGGGGUUCGGCACCCUCCUGUCCCUUCUCCCCUCUCACCAGGCAGAGACGUUGCGUGGCAGGCGGCGAUGGCGUGGCUGGUGGUGGCAGUAACACUUGCAGGGACAGGAGUUAAGCACCUGGAAGGGCAGCCAGUGGCGCGCAGCGCGGGUGUUAGCUGCCCCAGUCUGAGAGGCCCCGCUGCCACCACCCCCUCCACCACUGCUGUCAGGCACGGUAGCUGUAGCUCGUUCGCGAGGACCAUCUCCAUGCAAGCCAUCCUUACGGGUCGCGCCCCGGGCUGCACGGGAACCCUUGUUCCUGCGCGUGCGGGUCUUGAUGGGCGCAGCCGCGGGUGCGGGCGCGGACACAGGCGGGUGUGGCCAGAGCAGGAGUGAUUCUGCGGUCCGCCGGCUGCCGUUCAGAAGGUAAUGGUGGUGGCGGCUUCCAAGUCUCCAGGGGCGGCGGAAAUUGGGAUGGGGCCCUCGGGACAGUGUCCUUCACGGAUAGUUGCCGGGGCG
rnacentral:lncRNA from 1 species